AUGAUGAGCUUCCAGAGGCAAGAACACAAGGCAUACCACGCCAGCCAGGGCCGGCUUCCCUUGGCUUGUCAAGUCGUCAUGGUGGUGGGGGCAAAGCCUCCCCACAGACUCCAGACUCGCACGCUUUUAGCAGGCCGAAGCAACCGGACAUCAUUUCGUCCAUGGCCAGAGCUUGGACUACCCGAUUCGGCGGUUCCAGUGCCCUACCUACAUGGCCAUGGCCAGGGAGCAGCAACAGGAGCCGUGGCCAUGUGGUUGUCCUUCAUGUCAAGAGCUCGCCGGAAAGAGUGGCUCCGAUGGCCUAUAAACUGGGGCCGGUAA
rnacentral:rRNA from 1 species